CGCCCCUUCGGGGGAGUGGCGGACGGGUGAGUAACGCGUGGGAAUAUGCCCUAUGGUGCGGAACAACUGAGGGAAACUUCAGCUAAUACCGCAUGUGCCCUACGGGGGAAAGAUUUAUCGCCAUAGGAGUAGCCCGCGUUGGAUUAGCUAGUUGGUGGGGUAAUGGCUCACCAAGGCUACGAUCCAUAGCUGGUCUGAGAGGAUGAUCAGCCACACUGGGACUGAGACACGGCCCAGACUCCUACGGGAGGCAGCAGUAGGGAAUCUUGCGCAAUGGGCGAAAGCCUGACGCAGCCAUGCCGCGUGAAUGAUGAAGGUCUUAGGAUUGUAAAAUUCUUUCACCGGGGACGAUAAUGACGGUACCCGGAGAAGAAGCUCCGGCUAACUUCGUGCCAGCAGCCGCGGUAAUACGAAGGGGGCUAGCGUUGCUCGGAAUUACUGGGCGUAAAGGGCGCGUAGGCGGACAGUUUAGUCAGAGGUGAAAGCCCAGGGCUCAACCUUGGAAUAGCCUUUGAUACUGGCUGUCUUGAGUACGGGAGA
rnacentral:rRNA from 1 species